rnacentral:rRNA from 1 species
GGUGCCUAGGGGCGCAGCAGUGAGGAAUAUUGGUCAAUGGUCGGGAGACUGAACCAGCCAAGCCGCGUGAGGGAGGAAGGUACAGAGUAUCGUAAACCUCUUUUGUCAGGGAACAAAGGCGGGGACGUGUCCCCGGAUGAGUGUACCUGAAGAAAAAGCAUCGGCUAACUCCGUGCCAGCAGCCGCGGUAAUACGGAGGAUGCGAGCGUUAUCCGGAUUUAUUGGGUUUAAAGGGUGCGCAGGCGGUCUGUUAAGUCAGCGGUCAAAACCCGGGGCUCAACCCCGGCCCGCCGUUGAAACUGGCG